UUACGGCCAUAUCAUGUUGAAACAUCGGUUCCAUCACCGAAGUUAAGCAGCAACAAGCCUGGUCAGUACCUAGAUAGGUGACAGCUUGGGAAUACCAAGUGCUGAAA